AGGAAUGUCCACCAGAGCAGUUUCCGGAGAAUUGAAUGUUCAUUUCUCUACCAUACGUCUCCAACGUUGUUUUAGAGAAAUUGGCAGUGCGUCCAACCAGCCUAAUAACCGCAGCUCACGAAUAACCACCCCAGCCCAGGACCUCCACAUCCGGCUUCUUCAGCUGCGGGAUCAUCUGAAACCAGCCACCCAGACAGCUGAUGAAACUGUGGGUUUGACUUCAGUGGGCCAAUGCUCAUCUUCUCUGGCCACUUGCACACUGGAGAAGUGUGCGCUUCACGGAUUAAUCUCGAUUUCAACUGUACCGGGCAGAUGGCAGACAGUGUGUAUGGCAUCGUGUGGACGAGUGGUUUUCUGAUGUCAGCGUUGUGAACAGAGUGCCCCAUGGUGGUGGUGGGGUUAUAGUAUGGGCAGGCAUAAGCUAUGGACAACAAACACAAUUGCAUUUUAUGGAUGGCAAUUUGAAUGCACAGAGAUACCGUGACGAAAUCCCAAAGCCCAUUGCCGUGCCAGUCAUCCACCACCAUCACCUCAUGUUUCAGCAUGAUAAUGCACAGGCUCAUGUCACAAGGAUCUGUAAACAAUUCCUGGAAGCUGAAAAUGUCCCAGUUCUUCCAUGGUCUGCAUACUUACCAAGCAUGUCACCCAUUGAGUGUGUUUGGGAGGCUCUGGAUCGACGUGUACAACAGCGUGAUCCAGUUCUCACCAAUAUCCAGCAACUUCGUACAGCCAUUGAAGAGGAGUGGGACAACAUUCCACAGGCCACAAUUUACAGCCUGAUCAACUCUAUAUGAAAGAGAUGUGUCACGUUGCAUUAGGCAAAUGGUGAACUCACCAGAUACUGACUGGUUUUCUGAUCCACACCCCUACUUUUUUGUUAAGGUAUCUCUGACCAACAGAUGCAUAUCUGUAUUCCCAGUCAUGUGAAAUCCAUAGAUUAGGGUCUAAUUUAUUUAUUUAAAUUGACUGAUUUUAUUAUGAACUGUAAAUCAGUAAAAUCAUUGAAAUUGUUGCGUUUAUAUUUUUGUUCAGUACAGUAGGCUAAUUCCCCAGCCAAGCAGAUACAACUGGUAGUCGUUUUUGUUGUGAAGUGCAUUAGCAAAAAGCUUGGUCCUUUCUUUAGAACAAAAUGCAAUUUACCACUUGACUGUAUUAUAUCACCCUGUCACAGGCCCUCCCAGUCAACACCACCUUGUAAGAUGGCCUGCUGCAGUUGUUCCGUUUGCAGCCGAACAUGCAUCAUAGAGAAGACCAGCAAGAGAGCCCUCAUCAGCGUCAUUCAGACAUGCCCUCGCUAUGGAGAGGACUGUAUAUAUUUUUGCAGAUGCCAGUCUUGGUUGUUUGAUAGGGAGACCAUAAUUGGAAACACAUAUAGAGCCAGCAUGUGGAGACUUGCACGAUGAUUUGAUGAAGUCCACGCUGACAGACGGGCUGACGGCUCUGAAUGGCGAGAGACCUGGCACUCGGCAUAAAUGUUUUACUUGUC